GCUUCCUUGGUGUAGUCGGGUAAGCAUCUACCACUCCAAUAUCUUCACCGAUCUUAACCAACACCUGCUAGUUAUCACGUCGGUCUCAUAUCUCGUCGAGUAUGACUGUUCUAAGAACAGAAAUCCGAAGGCCGCCAGUUCGAAUCUGGCAGGGAGCA